rnacentral:ncRNA from 1 species
AACGAUUCAGGAGAGACCGCGUAUUUUACGCGGCACCGAAGGAGCAAUGCCACACUCUCUCAGGUAAAAGGACUGGGUCGG